AGUGAACGCUGGCGGCAGGCCUAACACAUGCAAGUCGAGCGGCAGCGCGUCCGACCACCCUCGGGUGGUCGGAUGGCGGCGAGCGGCGGACGGGUGAGGAAUGCAUCGGAAUCUGCCUCGUUGUGGGGGAUAACGUAGGGAAACUUACGCUAAUACCGCAUACGACCUACGGGUGAAAGUGGGGGACCUUCGGGCCUCACGCGAUGAGAUGAGCCGAUGCCGGAUUAGCUAGUUGGCGGGGUAAAGGCCCACCAAGGCGACGAUCCGUAGCUGGUCUGAGAGGAUGAUCAGCCACACUGGAACUGAGACACGGUCCAGACUCCUACGGGAGGCAGCAGUGGGGAAUAUUGGACAAUGGGGGGCAACCCUGAUCCAGCCAUGCCGCGUGUGUGAUGAAGGCCCUAGGGUUGUAAAGCUCUUUCACCGGUGAAGAUAAUGACGGUAACCGGAGAAGAAGCCCCGGCUAACUUCGUGCCAGCAGCCGCGGU
rnacentral:rRNA from 1 species